AACAGAUGUAAGGAGCAAAGGAUGCAAAGGAGCAGCGACUGUGUUACUGCUGAGCCGCUAACAGUCGCCAUUGAAAGCAAUGAGGAAGUGAAACAGCAGUAACAAACAACAAAACACCAGCCCCACACUGUCUGGAUAGAGGUAGCGAAAAAAAGCCGGGUAAAGUUGAUGCAGGCUAAAGUUGAUGUCUGAGAGCACCCCAGUUUAAUGAAUUAUAAGCACAUAGCAGCGAUAGGCUGGUUCUCCUUUCUUCAUUGGCAUAAAUGAUGACUCGCAGUCUGCCUUGAGAAGCCAGAUAUUUUAUUUCAUGAGUCACAAUGAUUUGAAAUGAGAUUUAAGAACUCCUCAUCCUUUGGUCCCGUUCAGCAGAAGAGACUCCUCCUCAGUACUGGGUGAAGUUGGCUGUGAUGUGCUCGUUGUUGAAGGGAAUGUAGUAAGCAACUCCUGAAAAGAGGUGGAGGAUAACAAAUGCCGUGGGGCCUGUCAACUUCCCAUGCCAGGACAUCAGCCCAUUGAGCUGGUUAGAGGUUGGGGCUGUAUGAGGAAACACCAAGCUGUCAUUGACCAUUUUACAUUCCACACAGCAGGAGAGAGUGGGGGAAACCAGUGAUGAGAGACAACUAAUAGUGGUCCCCGAUGUCACCAUUUGACCUUUUUCUUCAUCUAGCCUUGGACACACCCAGGUAUGUGAAAUGUUAAAUUUACAUCUUUAAAAUUGAGCUUCAGGUACUUGCAAAAUGAGUCUGGAUUAGCACACCAAGCAAUCCACUUAUUCUUGUUUAGUUUUCUAUCUUUGGGGUAAAUUAGAAAGUACAAGCCCUGCUUGUUCUUAGAGGGCCUAUCAUUUGAGGGUCCAGUGGCCAAGUGUGGAAGAGAAUUUUGCAAGACAUGAUGUGGCAACUGUCAUUGCAUCCUCCCUUCCUUUACAGUUAUGCCAACUAGAGGCACCAAGUAUGGUAUUGGGCUUUGUUGGCUAAUGACAAAUUUGCAUGAAACUGGAAAGAGAAACUUGGUGGCAGAGGGAAGUCUGAGAUGGUUGUUUCAGCUAGGGAAAGCCUAGGGAAAACAUUUGUGACAGGUGUGGUCAUCCUGAUAACUUUGGAAAAUGCAGCCCAUAACUACCCAUCGAGGCCGCUUUACAAGGCGGUUUGGUCUAAGAAGCACCAGGCAGAUACUCCUUAGCAGGCAGGUAGGGAGAAGUUGUGUGCCUUAAGUAACAAGAAAUCUAUAUGGUAAGUGGUAUCUGGAUAUGGCUGAGGUCUUACCCUUUGAUAGGAAAAGCUUUUAUUAUCAGGUGUAAUCUACCAGAUUGUACCUAGAAAGUGAUAAAAUCCAAACUGGAAUUCCUAAGUGGAAUCAGCAAGGUAAACACUUGUGCACUAAAUCUGCUAACCUGUUUAAUCUGGCACUAAAACCUCAAAACCCCUUAGACAAGGUUAAGCGUGUGACCCAACCCUGCCAAACCCAGCUUAAAUUCAUUCUUCAGGCUGCCUGCUUUCUGCAGGAAUUUCUAGAUGUGAGUUCUGGGUAUGCUUUUGUAUGGUUCAGCUGCAGGAAAGUGGUUUUGUUUCAUGACAGAAUUCCAGUGACCGAGAUGGAGAAGCUGGCUUUGCUCUUAGUCUCCCCCACCUCUGGUAUUUUGGACUGGUGAUUUGUCUUCACUCUUAGCUUGACACUGACUGUUACAUACACUGUUUGGACUCUUCCUAGUUUUAGUGUGUGGUGGGGAACCCACACCAGUAUAUCUUUUGCUCUGGGAGCUGAUUUCCUUAUAAUAGUAGCUGAGAGCUACACAAAGCUUAGGGCUGACAUUGUAACUCCAGCCUUCUCCCUUCCUGGGGUUUCUGAGGUUGGGAGUUCAUGGUGCAAUUUUUCUCUUAAUUUCCCAAGAUAUUUAACCAUUAAUAGCUCAUUAUGGACUAGAGGAUUUGACCGCUUGUGACUCUAUAAUUUCUGAUUCUGGUUGUUAAGCUUUCUCCACCAUUGUGCUUUCCACAGUGGAUUCCUGCUCUAGUCACCGGGGGCUGAAGAUGGUGGUGGAUUAGGGGCUGUCAAGUAGCAUCUUUCCUAAUCUAAGCCUGGAGGUACGUGAGGGAGGCAUAAAAGAUGGACACAUACUCAGCUUCUCAGACUCGGCUCCACUGUUUACUGGGUGACUUUUAUUAUUCAUUUGUGUGUGUGUGUGUGUGUGUGUGUGUGUUUGAGAGAGAGAGACAGACAUACAGAGUCAUCUUUAGAUUACUCAUGUUAAUCAUUUUAAAUACAAGCCAUUGUUUUGUGGGUAAGGUUAAGUAGGAGAGAAAGAACACUUUCCUGGUAAGUUUGAAGCAGAAAAUAUGAAUAUCUUUUGGAAGGGCUACUCUCAUAUUAGUAUGUGUGCACCAGAAUUUCGAUAGUGUAUGAUUGUUAUUAGUAAGCUGAUUAUUAUUGGUAAUAAACCCUCAAAAUUCUUGAUUUGUUUCAUUUUUUUCCAAGAAAGAAGAAUGAAUUCUUUUAGGUUUAUCUUCACAUUUUAUCCAUGAGCUAACAUAUACCUGCAUUUUGUUAGUAGAGAAACUGAGGCAAGGUAGUUAAGGAAGUGACCCCAAAUCACAUUUGUUGGACUUUCACAGGCAUGUUAGUAGACAUAAAGUCCCUUAGUCCUACAGUUCAGGCUUGUUAUUCUGGCCUAGAUUAGGAGCAUAUA